rnacentral:rRNA from 1 species
CUACGGGUGGCACCAGUGAGGAAUAUUGCACAAUGGGGGGAACCCUGAUGCAGCAACGCCGCGUGGAGGAUGACGCAUUUCGGUGUGUAAACUCCUUUUAUAUGUCAAGAAAAUGACGGUAGCAUAUGAAUAAGCACCGGCUAACUCCGUGCCAGCAGCCGCGGUAAUACGGAGGGUGCAAGCGUUACUCGGAAUGCACUGGGCGUAAAGGACGCGUAGGCGGGUUGGAAAGUCAGGUGUGAAAUCCUACAGCGUAACUGUAGAACUGCACUUGAAACUUCUAAUCUAGAGUAUGGGAGGGGGAGAUGGAAUUAGUGGUGUAGGGGUAAAAUCCGUAGAUAUCACUAGGAAUACCUAAAGCGAAGGCGAUCUCCUGGAACAUUACUGACGCUAAGGCGUGAAAGCGUGGGGAGCAAACAGGAUUAGAUACCCCAGUAGUC